UCCAGACUCCUACGGGAGGCAGCAGUGGGGGAUAUUGCACAAUGGGGGGAACCCUGAUGCAGCGACGCCGCGUGGGUGAAGGAGCGUUUCGGCGCGUAAAGCCCUCUCGGCAGGGAAGAAGGAGGACGGUACCUGACUAAGAAGCCCCGGCUAACUACGUGCCAGCAGCCGCGGUAAUACGUAGGGGGCAAGCGUUAUCCGGAUUUACUGGGUGUAAAGGGGGCGCAGACGGCAGCGCAAGCCAGGAGUGAAAGCCCGGGGCCCAACCCCGGGACUGCUCUUGGAACUGCGCGGCUGGAGUGCAGGAGGGGCAGGCGGAAUUCCUGGUGUAGCGGUGAAAUGCGUAGAUAUCAGGAGGAACACCGGUGGCGAAGGCGGCCUGCUGGACUGCGACUGACGUUGAGGCCCGAAAGCGUGGGGAGCAAACAGGAUUAGAUACCCCAGUAGUC
rnacentral:rRNA from 1 species